UACGUAGGUCGCAAGCGUGGUCCGGAUUUACUGGGCGUAAAGAGCGCGCAGGCGGCUGGUCAAGUCCGAUGUGAAAUCUCCCGGCUCAACUGGGAAACUGCAUCGGAAACUGAUCGGCUUGAAGGUGGGAGAGGGUAGUGGAAUUCCCGGUGUAGUGGUGAAAUGCGUAGAUAUCGGGAGGAACACCAGUGGCGAAGGCGACUUCCUGGCCUGUUCUUGACGCUGAGGCGCGAAAGCUAGGGUAGCAAACGGG
rnacentral:rRNA from 1 species